UUUAUUGCCUCACGUUUGUUUUCAAAUUCAAAUGUUAAUGAUGUCGUGUCCUGAUUGGUCCUUUAGCGUGCCCCCUCUAUUUUAACUCUUAUUUUAUUAUUUUAUUUAUUAAGUGCGCUUCUUGGUCACAAGUGGGUGCUUGGUCUAGUGGGAAAGAAGGUUGAUCCCCAUGACCCCAAGGUCAGGGGUUCAACCCCCAGCGCAUGCAUUCUAUUUUAUUUUUAUCUCUUUCACUUCUAUUUUAUUUAUUUUUCCCCAUAUUUAUUUCCAAUUUCAU
rnacentral:lncRNA from 1 species